UACAGAGGGUGCAAGCGUUGUUCGGAAUUAUUGGGCGUAAAGGGAGUGUAGGCGGUUUGUUAAGUCUUCUGUGAAAUCUACGGGCUUAGCCUGUAACGUGCAGAGGAAACUGACAGGCUUGAGUGUCGGAGAGGAUAGGGGAAUUCCCGGUGUAGAGGUGAAAUGCGCAGAUAUCGGGAGGAACACCGAUGGCGAAGGCAGCCUUCUGGGCCAACACUGACGCUCAUGCACGAAAGCGUGGGGAGCAAACAGG
rnacentral:rRNA from 1 species